AGGCAGUUGAAUGUACAUGCUUACACCUAACAUUUCCCUCCCUUGCCCUGGGUGCUGGCAACCCACGCAACACCACUGAUCCAAGCCCUGAAACAAAUCUAUGUAUAUGUUGUGCCCUUCAGGGUGGAGGAGGGGUAAUGACAAGGUGAGUUUGUAAUACUUAUCCUUUGUAAAAAGACAAUACAGAGUGUAGGGAUCAAUGAAUCAGUUGGCCCUCUUCUUAAGCUUAAGUUCAAUUAUCCACAUUUCUACAUCAGUUUGUGAUUUUUUUAAAAAAAAUAAAAACACUUCUCAUGAAAAUUCAUCAGUGAAUUUCUCCUAAUAUACACAUCUGUAUGGACACUGUCCCCUAAAACAAUGCAUUUUUUAUAUUAUUUUCAUGAAUAUAUGCAUCUAAUAAACAGUAUUUGCAUUGCAUGACUGGCAAACUAUAUUGCAAAAUUCAGAGAACUGAGAAUCUUGAAGGAUGGGUUUGUUUUGGUUCACGUAUUGUUUCAGAAACUGUCUUUAAAUGGUAACUGAAACAAUUUUCUACCCAUCUAGUCACCUCAUACUAGCCACCUCAAUAUUUGGAUCCAUAUGAAUCUAGGUUCCUGUAGGGUCAAAGUAACAAAGCUCAAAGACCAGUGUUCCCAGAGAUCUUUUGAUGGUAGCAGUUGUGGGGAACCAGCUCUUUGGCUGGUUUUGUGAGCUAAAUUGUGUAACUGGAAGCGUAGAAGGAUCAUGCUUCCUACUCUGCCUGUAGGGGAGGCUAGAUAGAUUACAUCUCAGUCACUUCAAAGUCUACAGUCAUAGGAGUUCAGACACAAAAAUAAAAAGUCAUUUCACAGAGCUCCGUCCUUGUUUUUCCCUUGCUUCCUGAUAGGAGCACCUGGUGGGAUUUAUGCACAUCAAUCAUAGAAUGAUAAAAUGAUUGGCACAUACAUUUUUUUUUAUAUUAUUCAAAUGCUAUUCCCUGAAUAAGUGGCAGGCACAUCUGCCUAGGACCCAUCUGUCCAAUGAAUUUAAAAAUGAGAAAAUAUUGAUCAAUCCUAUAACCUGAGUGAUAGCUCAAUCAGUAGAGCAAGAAACUCUUAAUCUCAGGAUUGUGGAUUUGAGCCCAGUGUUGGGUGUAAGAUUUCUGCAUCACAGGGAGUUGUAUUAGAUGACCAUCAUGGUCUCUUCCAGCUCUCCAAGUCUGUGAUUCUGUGAACCUAGACAUUAUCAGCAGCCCUUAUUGUGUGUCACUGUUUGUGCAGGGGCAACAGGGAUGAAUACUUUAGCUCCAACCCCAUUAUCAUAAUGGUCAUCCUCCCACUUGUGAAGGUUGCCUACAUGCAGUUGGAACCCCCUCUGUACUCAUGGAGGAAACCCGCAUUUCCUGGAGUUCCAAAAUACAUGAAGAAGUACAAGAAGUUCCCCAAGGCAGAUAAUUGCUAUCUGUCAGGCUUGAGGACUCCUCUCCCUCCCCCCAAUGGCACCAAGAAGCAGGGAGGAAACAAGAAAGCUCCUACAUAUGAUUAAGUGUUGGUGUUGACCUUUAAAGCCCUAAACGGCCUCAGCCCAGUAUACCUGAAGGAGCAUCUCCACCCCCAUCAUUCUGCCCGGAUGCUGAGGUCCAGCGCCGAGGGCCUUCUGGCGGUUCCCUCACUGCGAGAAGCAAAGCUACAGGGAACCAAGCAGAGGGCCUUCUCAGUAGUGGUGCCCGCCCUGUGGAACAUCCUCCCAUCAGAUGUCAAAAAGAUAAACAACUGCCUGACAUUUAGAAGACAUCUGAAGGCAGCCCUGUUCAGGGAAGUUUUUAAAGUGUGACAUUUUAAUGUAUUUUUAAUCUUUGAUGGAAGCCGCCCAGAGUGGCUGGGGAAACCCAGCUAGAUGGGUGGGGUACAAAUAAUAAAUCAUCAUUAUCAUCAUCAUCAUCAUCAUCAUCAUCAUGGUGAGAAGCAAAGAAUUCAAGUCAUUCCUCAGUGAUGGAGUUGCUUGCACUGAGCUCCUCCCCCUUCCCCUCUAGCAACAACACAUGCUUCUAUAGCAUCCGUCCGUGGACAACUUUCUCUGUGCUCUUUGUUCUUGCACCCUUAACGAACGCUGCAUUUUGGGAGAAGUGGGGUCGGUUAUGCUGUCCAGCGAUGUGUCAGCUAGUGGCUUUGCCUCCCCUCCUCCUUCUCCUAACACCGCAUAACUCUGCUGUUUGCCUGUCUCUGAGCAGUUAUUUUCCUCAAAUCCCUGCUGUAAUUCGAGACUGCCAUCCUCCUCUCUGGAAGCUAUGGGAGAAGGGGGAGGAGACCUCCACCAUUCCUCCUCCUCUUUAUUUCAGUCCCUGACACUACCUAAAAUUUGGAAGGCAACCAAAAUGUCUACAUUUUGAGAUAGAACUUGCAUACUCAUCCCCAUUGUUCACUCCUUUUGCUUAAGUGUUGAAUUCACUACUAAGGGGCAAGAUUCGCUUUGGCAAGAUUGACCAGCAUGAGCAAUGUAGGAUGCAGUGGAUCUCUGCUGCAAUUGGGCUUGGCUGACGUUAAGUCCCCAGCUGUGGCUCAGCCUGAGAUAUGCUGGCAGAACUUGCUUACUACCCAGCCCAGUUGGGGCUCAACCAAGUGAGCCAAAGCUGGCUGAACUGAGGCAAUCAUAGCUCCUUUAAAUGGGGCAUUUCAGAAGCGUGGUAAAGACUGGACCAGACAGGCAGAAUUGGGUCACGUCCUAAAGCCCAUUCAGAUCAAUCACAUGACCUGGCAACCACACAGAGAACACUAUCUUAGUUCCGUUUUCCCUCUACCAGCACACUUCCCCUGCCCUGUACAGUGGUACCUCGGGUUACAUACGCUUCAGGUUACAUACGCUUCAGGUUACAGACUCUGCUAACCCAGAAAUAGUGCUUCAGGUUAAGAACUUUGCUUCAGGAUGAGAACAGAAAUCGUGCUCCGGUGGCGCGGCGGCUUCAGGAGGCCCCAUUAGCUAAAGUUGUACCUCAGGUUAAGAACAGUUUCAGGUUAAAAACAGACCUCUGGAAUGAAUUAAGUACUUAACCCGAGGUACCACCGUAUAAGGUUUGGAUCUUUGAUACCUUAAUGCUGGCUUAAUGUAUACUGGUUUGCUUUAUGCCAAUUUAUUGCGAUAAUAUUGUGUUCCCUAAUGGUGACACCUGAAGAGGGCAAUAGAAAUGUUUCUUUCUCCCUAUGAAGCUGACAAACUCUUAAAUAGUUGCAUGAAUAUUUCAGCAAGUAUAAAAAUAGUCACCUCUUGCAGACUGUCAUCCAGAAAUGUAGAUAAUGAUAGGAUAUAUCAUUCUGACAAAAAAAAGGAUCCCACAUAUGAUUGUUCCUAAAGGUUCUAUACAAAGAGCUUAUCAAUACUCCUUUGUAUUACAGUCUUUCAUAACUUAUGGCCCACAAGCCAAACAUAGGGAUUAUCUUGGCUUGGCAGAUGCUUGACAAUGUCCCUGUGGCUUUUCUUUUUCUUUUUUGCAGUCUCAAGCAGGCAGCAAAACCAGGAGUUAUGGAAUUACAGGGUAGGUUAUCUCUUUCUAUAGAGCACGCUAUAUUUUCAUUGAAAAUUUACUCAUAUUUUACAAAUAGUAGCAACAAAUGAAUCAAAUCAUCAUAGUGAUGCAGAGUAAAUGUGUGCAUAAAACUCAGCAGGGACAAUUCAAAUUACACAUCAGGACCACAGAAGGGUAAAAAAGCUGUACAAGGAAGGCGUGUGUCCAGAACAAUUUAAGGAUUUAAGUUAAAGGAACGGGUACCUAUGAAGGUAUUUGACAUUCUGUCUGCAUGAAACUAUUGUUCACAUAUGCUUCUUCUGUUACCUUGCCCAACAACUCAAUUUUCUAUUAUUGUUGAUACCUCUGGUUAACAGUGCAAUCCAAACUCCAGCUGGGCUUAAUGGAGCACCUAAAUCUCUGGAGACUGUUAUUCAAAUGAUCCAGGGGAGAAGGUAUAGGGAGGCAAGUCUCUGUACCAAUCCGGAGCUAGCACAACUUUCAGGUUUGAUACAGUCAAGCGAUCACAUUGGGGCCGACUUGGGAUCCAGGCUAGUUUAGUCCUUUCUCACUACACCCCAGAACAUCCAGUUUCAGAGUGUUCAAUGAACUGCCACCACCAGGAUUCCACCAGAAACACUUCUGCCUAGUGGGUGGAAAAGAGCCCAUACUGAAGAAACCCAGCCAGAUGGGCGGGGUAUAAAUAAUAAUAAAUUACUGGUGGAGUGACACUGGCAUUACUCUGUGGUUGGAGAGACACUUCUGACCAAACAAAAUGCCCCCCAAGCUGGGCACAAAAGGGGUUUAGAUUGCAGCCUCAGUGUAGACAGCCAGUCUUUAUAUAUUAUUUUCUUUGCAUCAUUUCCAGGAAUGUUCACUAAGGCUAAUUUUGGAAUCAGUUGCCACAAAAGCUCUACAAAAUCUUACUGAUAUCUCCAUGUAGUGGAAAGUGGCUACCCUCUUAACAUUAGGAGAAACAUCUUUAUAUACAAUGGUAUCUCAGUUCACGAACGUAAUCUGUCCCUUAAGUCUGUUCUUAAACUGAAUCCGUUCUUAAACCGAGAUGCGCUUUCCCUGAUGAGGCGUCCUGCCUCCAGUGCCCUUCCACAGUUCGGUUUCUGUUUGUAGACCGAGGUAAAGUUUGCAAACUUUACUACUUCCGGUUUUGUGGAGUUCGUAAACCGAAUCAUUCGUAAACAGGACUGUUCGUAAAACAAGGUACCACUAUACUUGUUGUAGCUUUAGAGGAUAGUGUAGACAUGGACUUUGAGGAUGUACCAAUCCAGACUGCAAGCAGAAUGCAUAUAAUGCAUUUCUUGAAAGACAAAAACUAGAAUAACUGGUUGAAGACUAACCCAACCCCUUUCCCCUAUCAGUUUACUAUAAUGUGCAGUCAUGAAUUUGUUUUAGGGAACACUUCAGAAUUGCACAUAUAUCCAAUUCUAAUUCAUUUGGAAUCUUGUGUGGAGUAUCAAUUGCAUGAACAAGGACUUCCACAGAAAGGAUAGACAAAUGACUGCUCAGAUGUGUGCAGUUGAAGUAUCUUGAAAAAGAACAGUUGUUGUUGUAGGAAUCAUGGUGGCAACAUGACCUCCUCCUCAGAUAAUUCACUCAAUGUCUACAUGGAAUCUCAGGUGAGUUGUGAGUUUGCUGGCAGCAACACAUGUUCCUGUGACUGAUUAUGCAAGACCCAAUAUGCACCUAAACCAAAGUAUACAGCUUCAUGAUGACAGGAAGAAAUCAUACUGAAUGCAUGUACAAGAACUUGGGGCUAGUUUUGUACCUAAAGGAAUAAAUGAGCAGAACAUACGGAGAACAUACAAAGUCAUAAUGCUUGGGGAUGUAAGACUAUAGUGAAACAUCAACAGUAUUAAAGAUGGAAGGAUGGUAAAUUUUGGUUCUCCCGUUUUCUUAUUUUUGUAAUCCUAAAUUCAGUUCUCCACAUUUUGCAGCAAUCUGCUUAAAAAAAAAAUCCCUCACUAAAAUUCCCCAGCGUUUUAGUGUAAAUUUCUCAUAAUAAGCAUGCUUAUAUUGACUAAGGAACACAUUUUUGCAAGCAAUUUCCCCAUAUGUAAUGCAUUUUUGCAUGUUAUUUUCAGGAAUAUCUUCAGUUUUAUGCACACUUUCCCCUAAUAUAUGCUUUUUUGUGAACAUAUACUGAAUCACAAAAAUUGGAUAAAUGCAAAUUUUGAAGGAUAGCUGUGUUUUGGAAAGUGCAGAUUUGAUAGAUUUUACUUUAAGGGCUGAAUCAAAUUUCUCCUCCACCCCUAAGAGGUAUGAAAGAAAAAGACACAAUUAAAUAAUUAUCUUCAUUAUCAUGCCACUCUUAAUCUUGCAUAGCAAAAGAGCUCAAGAAGACUCUUGAUAUUAUAAUUAUUUGCUGAAAAAUGAGUCCCUCAUUCAUUUAUUUUUCCACUUUCUAUGCUAGAGUGUAAUUCAGGGUAUAAUUCCACUAUGAGGCAAAAGCACAUAUCACACUAUACAGGGCAAAAAGUGCAAGGGAAAGUAGUUUGUUUAAAUGCUCUGCAUUUCAAAAGAAAAAUCAAUUUCUUUAUUAAAUUUAUUUUUAUGUCAUCAGCAUUUUCCUCCAAGUAUAAAGUUUCACACAAGCUAUCAUUUUGUGGGGAGGAAUGUGGUUCCACCUUUGGCAACAAUAGCUUUAUCCCCAUGAUGUCUUUCUAUAUUCUUUGUUCUGAAAAUGACUGAACAGUAUAUUUCAUAUUGGUAUUCUCUUUUUUGGAAAUGCAAGGCCCAGUGCUUAUCCAUGUAUGAGUCAAAAUUACAAAUUGCGCAUGCAACGUUAAAAAUUGUUAGGGCUGCAACCUUUGAACAUUUCAUUUAUAUAAUGCUUGGAAUUCAGUGUUACAGAAUUCAGCUUUAAAUCUUGCCAGACACAACAAUGUAUCUCACCCCAAAUUCUGUUCUGGGGAUUCUCCUGACUCCUCCCAGCUAAAUUAUCUUUUCUUGCUGGACAGCAACCAGAAUAGAACUCAAGGUAUAAGAAAACUGCCGAGAAAAUAACACAAGAAAACUAGGGAAACUGGCUCACCUAUAAGCAAUAUUUCCCAACCCUUACAGAAGUUCUGGGUCAGAAUCAUUUAUUGCUCUGCAUAACUAGAAGAGCUGCUUUUGUCGGCCACAAACUACUGCAGCAAAUUUUUGUAGUUGAAGAAAAAUAGACAAAGGCUAUUAGACAGGACAGCAAGAUUCAACAAUUCCCAGUCUUCAAACACAAACACAACCUGAAAGAAUACUCAACAUAGCAUAUUGGAAAAAAUCAAGGUUAUAUUUAUUUAAAUAUAACAAAUUAGAGUAUCGGCAAAAUAAGCCAAAUCAUUAAGUGUGGGCAGGUGUAUGAGGGAAACAUUUCUCCCCACCAUGGACAUGUAAGCCACCACAUAGUUUGUCCUCGAGCCAAGAAUUGAGAGAGGAUUCCCUUUCUUUGCUACCUGAGCCUUGGGUUGUGAACCCAACAUGAGUCCAUCUUUCACCAAGGUAUGAACAUCAGGCCUUAAGUUGUGCCCAAAUACACAACCCCAUGGGACUCGGGUAGCACUGUGGUCUAAACCACAGAGCCUAGGGCUUGCUGAUCAGAAGGUCGGUGGUUUGAAUCUCCGCGACAGGAUGAGCUCCUGUUGUUCGGUCCCUGCUCCUGCCAACCUAGCAGUUCGAAAGCACGUCAAAGUGCAAGUAGAUAAAUAGGUACCGCUCUGGCAGGAAGGUUAACAGCAUUUAUGUGUGCUGCACUGAUUCGCCAGAAGCAGCUUAGUCAUGCUGGCCACAUGACCCGGAAGCUGUCUGCGGACAAACUCUGGCUCCCUCAGCCAAUAAAGUGAGAUGAGCGCUGCAACCCCAGAGUCGUCCAUGACUGGACUUAAUGGUCAGGGGUCCCUUUACUUUUACCUUUACACAACCCCAAGCCCCCAGUCUGUAGUUGAUAAGUCAAGAAUGCCUCAUAAUACAAUAGUACAAAAGGAGGGCAAUGACAUGAGAUCUUCCCUUCCCUGCUUUCCAAACAGAUCAAUUGAACCAAAUCAAUAGAACAGAGCCCUACAGUGUGCAGCGGGUCAAAGAAGGAAAUUCCAAGUGUCCAUCGGGACUCUCCAAAAAUUCCUACUCAGCACCAAGGCCACAUUGCAGAUGGAUAGAAGAAGGACAGUGCAACUUUAGAAGGAAGAGGAGGCAGAACAAACAUAAAUAUUGCCUAGAUUGCCCCUUCCCACUGGGCAUUGGACCCAUGUGCUGACCCUCUCCUCCUGGAGAGACCAACUCAAGUCUCUUCCAAGGCCAAUGGGGCUGAGGCAAACCACUCCUGAUAAAAGUAGGAGCAUCAAUAUUAUUAUCAUAAAGAUACACUCUAUCCUGUACUGUACAGUUUCUGAAUUUUAGUAUUGUAGAAGCCAUAUGAGAUGGUUUGCUAAUUAUUGUGCAGUCUAUUGGUCAAACACUACUGUAAAGUUCUGAAGUCAUUUCAUAUCUAUGUUACAGUAAUAGAUGGCAAUUUUAGUGCCUUGCCUUGAUUUACUUCUUAAAAUCCCAACUUCACAGAGCCACGUCUGACGGAAACACUGUAGCCAGCAAUAUCUGCUCUAGCCAAGCCUAAUCAUUAUUUCAAUUAAACGGCAUGAUUUUUAACUCUGUAAAAUGGUAUCCUUUGAAUGGGCUGCUUAAAAUAAUUCAUAAACAGGAAAACUGGAAUGUAGUUUGGUAAAUUACAUAAAAUAACAUAAGGG